AAGGAAGUGACAGAAUGGUUAUGUGGCCGGCUUGAAACCGGCAUAUGGGGGUUCGAUUCCUUCCUUUCUCG
rnacentral:tRNA from 1 species